rnacentral:rRNA from 1 species
UACGGAGGGGGCUAGCGUUGUUCGGAAUUACUGGGCGUAAAGCGUACGUAGGCGGCUUUGUAAGUUAGAGGUGAAAGCCCGGGGCUCAACUCCGGAAUUGCCUUUAAGACUGCAUCGCUUGAAUCAUGGAGAGGUGAGUGGAAUUCCGAGUGUAGAGGUGAAAUUCGUAGAUAUUCGGAAGAACACCAGGGGCGAAGGCGACUCACUGGACAUGUAUUGACGCUGAGGUACGAAAGCGUGGGGAGCAAACAGG